rnacentral:rRNA from 1 species
UUAAUGGAGAGUUUGAUCCUGGCUCAGGACGAACGCUGGCGGCGUGCCUAAUACAUGCAAGUCGAGCGGGGUUAGUUAGAAGCUUGCUUCUAACUAACCUAGCGGCGGACGGGUGAGUAACACGUAGGCAACCUGCCCACAAGACAGGGAUAACUACCGGAAACGGUAGCUAAUACCCGAUACAUCCUUUUUCUGCAUGGGAGAAGGAGGAAAGGCGGAGCAAUCUGUCACUUGUGGAUGGGCCUGCGGCGCAUUAGCUAGU